AUUCGCCUCGGGUUGGCUGUUUUCGGCCGUUUCCGGCCAAAUUCGACCACACUCGCAUCGGUCCCUGCGAGAAAACAACCCUAGGGCCCUCGGGGGGCCAAAAAAAUCACGGAAAAAUGGAGCUUACUGGCGGCGGCGCUCUCGGGUGCGACGGCUCUCUGGCGAGGUUCAUGUUUUGGUGAUUCGGCUCCGGUCAACCUGUAGAGAAAAGAAUGGUGAUCACGGUGAUAUAAAAAUUGCAUCAAACGGAGGCCGGGAAGGGCCUCAUCGGAGGCAAAAACCGAGAAGGGGCGCGGCGGCGCUGUUGGGCUUCGGCCGUGUAUUCCGGCCGUUUGGCCGGGAUUUUGGCUCCGAUUUGGCCACAGGAGGAAUCAGCGUGGAAAAACGAGUCGGGGGUACGAAAUUUACCUCGAUCGGCGGUCGGAAAUUCCUCCGGUGCGGCGGCGGGUGGCGGCGGCCGGCUUCUGGUUCGUCUUCUCCGACGAGCGGCAGGCGGCUAGGGUUUGUGGUCUGGUGUGGGGGUUCUAUUUAUAACCCUUUGCCUUUUGAUCUCAGCCGUCCAUUUUGUUUUAAUCUGGGCCGUCCGUUUUUGAUUAAAUCUGGGCCGUCCGUGCGUUUAAAUCUGGGCCGUCCGAUCGCACGCUUGAUCUGGGCCGUCCGAUCGCGCCUACGCGGAUCGCCAACGUGGUCCUUUUUGGAACGACGUGGUCUUGCCACGUGGCAGGUCCCGGUUGGCCGGGACUGCUGACCGGGCCUGCUGACGUGGCUGCCGACGUGG
rnacentral:lncRNA from 1 species